rnacentral:rRNA from 1 species
CAGCUCCAAUAGCGUAUAUUUAAGUUGCUGCAGUUAAAAAGCUCGUAGUUGGAUUUCGGGUGGGGCCUGCCGGUCCGCCGUUUCGGUGUGCACUGGCCGGGCCACCUUGUUGCCGGGGACGGGCUCCUGGGCUUCACUGUCCGGGACUCGGAGUCGGCGAGGUUACUUUGAGAAAAUCAGAGUGUUCAAGCAGGCCUUUG